UACGAAGGGACCUAGCGUAGUUCGGAAUUACUGGGCUUAAAGAGUUCGUAGGUGGUUGAAAAAGUUGGUGGUGAAAUCCCAGAGCUUAACUCUGGAACUGCCAUCAAAACUUUUCAGCUAGAGUAUGAUAGAGGAAAGCAGAAUUUCUAGUGUAGAGGUGAAAUUCGUAGAUAUUAGAAAGAAUACCAAUUGCGAAGGCAGCUUUCUGGAUCAUUACUGACACUGAGGAACGAAAGCAUGGGUAGCGAAGAGGAUUAGAUACCCUCGUAGUCCAUGCCGUAAACGAUGUGUGUUAGACGUUGGAAAUUUAUUUUCAGUGUCGCAGCGAAAGCGAUAAACACACCGCCUGGGGAGUACGACCGCAAGGUUAAAACUCAAAUGAAUUGACGGGGACCCGCACAAGUAGUGGAGCAUGUGGUUUAAUUCGAAGAUACGCGCAGAACCUUACCAACACUUGACAUGUUCGUCGCGACUCUAAGAGAUUAGAGUCUUCGGUUCGGCCGGACGAAACACAGGUGCUGCAUGGCUGUCGUCAGCUCGUGUCGUGAGAUGUUGGGUUAAGUCCCGCAACGAGCGCAACCCUCACUUUUAGUUGCCAUCAUUAAGUUGGGCACUCUGAAAGAACUGCCAGUGAUAAGCUGGAGGAAGGUGGGGAUGACGUCAAGUCCUCAUGGCCCUUACGUGUUGGGCUACACACGUGCUACAAUGGUAUCUACAACAGGAAGCAAGACUGCGAAGUUAAGCAAAUCCCUAAAAGAUACCUCAGUUCGGAUUGCACUCUGCAACUCGAGUGCAUGAAGCUGGAAUUACUAGUAAUCGUGGAUCAGCGUGCCACGGUGAAUGCGUUCCCGGGUCU
rnacentral:rRNA from 1 species